rnacentral:rRNA from 1 species
UGAACGCUGGCGGCGUGCUUAACACAUGCAAGUCGAACGAGAACGGGUCUUAGCUUGCUAAGAUUGUCAGCUAAGUGGCGCACGGGUGAGUAAUAUAUAGGUAACAUGCCUUCGAGAAGGGGAUAACGUUUGGAAACGAACGCUAAUACCCUAUAUGCCUUUAAGUCUUAAGACUGCAAGGGAAAUAUUUAUAGCUCGAAGAUUGGCCUGUACAGUAUCAGCUAGUUGGUGAGGUAAUGGCUCACCAAGGCAAUGACGCUUAACUGGUUUGAGAGGAUGAUCAGUCACACUGGAACUGAGACACGGUCCAGACUCCUACGGGAGGCAGCAGUGGGGAAUAUUGCACAAUGGACGAAAGUCUGAUGCAGCAACGCCGCGUGGAGGAUGACACAUUUCGGUGCGUAAACUCCUUUUAUAUAGGAAGAUAAUGACGGUACUAUAUGAAUAAGCACCGGCUAACUCC